GGACAAGGUCAUCAUGGAAAUUGGUGGAAAUGUAGUCGAAUGUUACUUGAAAGUUGGUUGUUUGAAUGAAAAUUGUUGAUGAAUGUUUGCUGGUUCUGGUAGUUAAAAUAAAUCGGACAUCUUAAUCAAAUAUCAAAAACGUGAAAAAAGUUGCAAUCUGUCCCGGAAUUCCGAAAGCACGUAAAAGGAUACGACGAGACGGGGGACAGCUUUGCGCAACGUAAUAUUAGCGAAAUUCCAGCCGUCUAUUAUCGACGGUCCCUACGAGAGCGUGGCUACGCCGCGUGUAGCAAAGAGAAGAGAUCCGCGGCGAAAUGCGU